rnacentral:tRNA from 1 species
GCCCAUAUAGCUCAGUUGGACAGAGCGCACGGCUACGAACUGUGAGGUCGCGGGUUCGACUCCUGCUAUGGGCA